rnacentral:lncRNA from 1 species
CGGGGCUAAGGUUCACCAUGGCAACACUAAGAUGGGCGGAGCCAAUCCCUAUGGCAACAGCACCCCUGUGGGCGGGGCUAAGGGUCACCAUGACAACACAAGGGGGCGGAGCCAAGCCCUAUUGGCGACAGUAUCUCUAUGGGCGGGGCUAAGGGUCACCAUGGCAACACUAAGAUGGGCGGAGCCAAUCCUAUUGGCAACAGCACCCCUGUUGGCGGGGCUAAGGGUUACCAUGGCAACAUUAAAGGGGCGGAGCCAAGCCCUAUUGGCGACAGUAUCUCUAUGGGCGGGGCUAAGGGUCACCAUGGCAGCACUAAGAUGGGCGGAGCCAAUCCCUAUGGUGACAUUAUCCCUGUGGGCGGGGCUAAGGGUCACCAUGGCAACACUAAGAUGGGCAGAGCCAAUCCUAUGGCAACA